rnacentral:rRNA from 1 species
GACGAACGCUGGCGGCAUGCUUAACACAUGCAAGUCGAACGCAGUGGGGACGGGUGAGUAACACGUGGCUAACCUCCCAUCAGAGGGGAUAACACUUGGAAAAAGGUGCUAAACCGAUGUCGAUUGAUGGACUGGUGGGGCAUUAGGUGGUUGGUGGGGUAAAGGCUCACCAAGGCCACGAUGAGUAGCCGGUCUGAGAGGAUGAUCGGCGACACUGUGACUGAGACACGGCCCAGACUCCUACGGGAGGCAGCAGUGGGGAAUCUUCGGCAAUGGGCGAAAGUCUGAGCGAGCAAUGCCGCGUGUGUGAAGAAGGUUUUCGGGUUGUAAAGCACUGUUGUUAGGGAAGCGGUAUCUGACGAAUAAGCCCCGGCUAACUACGUGCCAGCAGCCGCGGUAAUAC